rnacentral:rRNA from 1 species
GAUGAACGCUGGCGGCGUGCCUAAUACAUGCAAGUCGAGCGAACAGACGAGGAGCUUGCUCCUCUGACGUUAGCGGCGGACGGGUGAGUAACACGUGGAUAACCUACCUAUAAGACUGGGAUAACUUCGGGAAACCGGAGCUAAUACCGGAUAAUAUAUUGAACCGCAUGGUUCAAUAGUGAAAGACGGUUUUGCUGUCACUUAUAGAUGGAUCCGCGCCGCAUUAGCUAGUUGGUAAGGUAACGGCUUACCAAGGCAACGAUGCGUAGCCGACCUGAGAGGGUGAUCGGCCACACUAGAACUGAGACACGGUCCAGACUCCUACGGGAGGAAGCAGUAGGGAAUCUUACGCAAUGGGGGAGAGCUGGACGGAGCAACGCCGCGUGAGUGAUGAAGGUCUUAGGAUCGUAAAACUCUGUUAUCAGGGAAGAACAAAUGUGUAAGUACCUAUGCACGUAUUGACGGUACCUAAUCAGAAAGCCACGGCUAACUACGUG